rnacentral:rRNA from 1 species
UACAGGGGGUGCAAGCGUUAAUCGGAAUUACUGGGCGUAAAGCGUGCGCAGGCGGUUCGUUGUGUCGGCGGUGAAAGCCCCGGGCUCAACCUGGGAAUGGCCGUUGAAACUGGCGAACUGGAGUGUGGCAGAGGGGGGUGGAAUUCCGCGUGUAGCAGUGAAAUGCGUAGAGAUGCGGAGGAACACCGAUGGCGAAGGCAGCCCCCUGGGCUAACACUGACGCUCAGGCACGAAAGCGUGGGGAGCAAACAGG